rnacentral:lncRNA from 1 species
UUCAGCCACCAAAUUCACUCAAAAUAUGCAACUUAUCCAACCAAAAAUUUGACUCAGAUGUUGAAACAAAAUGUGAACAAGUCACANGACUCAAAAANANCAAAUAAGAGUUGAACAAACACUAUGAAAUUAAUGGAAGAUGUCCAGCAAUGAUCUAAUGCUAAACCAAAUUAAGAAAAACAAAAACUGGACUCAAACAAUACAAUGCAGAUCGGUCAACUGCAGAAUUGGUGCAUAUUUGAACUUUCCAGUGAUACUACCAAGCCAAUUGCAAAGGCAAUCUAAUGCUUAUAUGGUAUUCAUCCUGUAUUAGCUCGAAUUAAGCAUUUCCAAACAUUCAAAUCAGCAAUUCAGACCAAAUCCAACCAAUGAAAUAGUGACUGUAACAGUUCAAAAAGAUCAAUGCAACUGCAACCAACACAACUCUGCACUGAUUCUGAAAU